GCCAGGGGUCAAGGUUGCCCCUACCUUUGAGCAUCUUUCUCAAAGUUCAGAAGUCAUGGGCCUGGUAUCACUGCCCAUGAUGGCGCCCAGAGCAGAGAAAAACUUUUCAGGCCACAGGCCAGGUCCAACCUGGGGUUUUGAGUUUACUCAGUGCCUGUCCAGCAGGAUCCGGCAGGUCGUAUCUAGGCCUCCUGGCAGCCACCUUUGUGGAGACAGCCCCACAGUGCUGCAGGGAAUCAUUAACCAGAACAGUGUGGUCACUAGCAACCCUCAUGGCAGGUUCAGCAGUUCAGCAGUUCCGCCAGGAAACUGCAGGUUCUGUGGAGUGGGCAGUCCUCACAAAGCAAACAUUGCAGAGCAAGUUGCCCUCUUCUGGUCUCUCAGAAGAACUGCAACAGUUCUUCCGGAGGGAGCCAAGGCCAGUGGGUACUUUCUGUUCAGUCACUUCGAGGAUUUGGGCUCUGGUCAAAGACAAGCCUUCCACUCCUCUCCCAGCUCUGCUCAGAGUUGUAGGAACCAAAGGAGCUGCUCCACAGGCCACCUUAUAGAUGACCUGCUCCAGGCUGGAUCAGGGUCUUCCAAGCCCUGCAAGCACACGGCCCUUCUCUGCCACCUGGCCCAGCCCCGUGGGCCCCGAGAACUCCCACCUUUUGAGUGUGAAGUGUGCUCAGCCCUCAUGGACACCCUUUUUUGCCUAACAGCUAGUCCCUGGCCACCCCAGAUGGGGCUGUGCUGGACCCACGACUGUCUUGGUGGGUUGGGCCAGCAUCACACUUUGUUACUUUUGUAAUGUCAGGUAUAUGCUGGCAGUGGUGGCAGAAGCCUUAAUCUCAGCACUCAGGAGGCAGAGGCAGGCCUGGUCUGCAGAGCAAGUUCUAGGACAGACAGUAGCCCUGUCUCAAGAAACAAACCAACCUUCCAAGUACCUAAAUGGAAAUUCACCAUCCAAGCCUCAGACACAGCCCUGGCCAAACCCUACCUCUGUACCAUGCUGUGUCUGUGUAGACAGAGGCUGCUAUGUGGUAGCAGAGGACAGGCCCCAAACAGUGG
rnacentral:lncRNA from 1 species